GAUGAACGCUGGCGGCGUGCUUAAUACAUGCGAGUCGAGCGAACGGACGAGAAGCUUGCUUCUCUGAUGUUAGCGGCGGACGGGUGAGUAACACGUGGAUAACCUACCUAUAAGACUGGGAUAACUUCGGGAAACCGGAGCUAAUACCGGAUAAUAUUUUGAACCGCAUGGUUCAAAAGUGAAAGACGGUCUUGCUGUCACUUAUAGAUGGAUCCGCGCUGCAUUAGCUAGUUGGUAAGGUAACGGCUUACCAAGGCAACGAUGCAUAGCCGACCUGAGAGGGUGAUCGGCCACACUGGAACUGAGACACGGUCCAGACUCCUACGGGAGGCAGCAGUAGGGAAUCUUCCGCAAUGGGCGAAAGCCUGACGGAGCAACGCCGCGUGAGUGAUGAAGGUCUUCGGAUCGUAAAACUCUGUUAUUAGGGAAGAACAUAUGUGUAAGUAACUGUGCACAUCUUGACGGUACCUAAUCAGAAAGCCACGGCUAACUACGUG
rnacentral:rRNA from 1 species